AUUGAACGCUGGCGGCAGGCCUAACACAUGCAAGUCGAACGGAGCGGCGGACGGGCGAGUAAUGCCUAGGAAUCAGCCUGGCCGUGGGGGAGGACUUCCGGAAGCGGGCGCUAAUAACGACUGCUUUCAGAUGCGCCUAGGGCGGUGUAGCUAGUGGGUGGGGUAAAGGCCUACCAAGGCGACGAUCCGUCCCUGGUCUGAGAGGAUGAUCAGUCACACUGGAACGGGGACACGGUCCAGACUCCUACGGGAGGCAGCAGUGGGGAAUAUUGGACAAUGGGCGAAAGCCUGAUCCAGCCAUGCCGCGUGUGUGAAGAAGGCCUUCGGAUUGUAAAGCACUUUCAGUUGGGAGGCGUUACCCACAGAAUAAGCACCGGCUAACUCCGUGCCAGCAGCCGCGGUAAUUC
rnacentral:rRNA from 1 species